GACGAACGCUGGCGGCGUGCUUAACACAUGCCAGUCGAACGGUGAAGCGCCUUCCUUUUUGGUGGGUGUGGAUGAGUGGCGAACGGGUGAGUAACACGUGAGUAACCUGCCCCCUUCUUCUGGAUAACCGCAUGAAAGUGUGGCUAAUACGGGAUAUUCUGGGUCUGUCGCAUGAUGGGUCUGGGAAAGAUAUUGUUUCGGUGGGGGAUGGGCUCGCGGCCUAUCAGCUUGUUGGUGGGGUGAUGGCCUACCAAGGCGGUGACGGGUAGCCGGCCUGAGAGGGUGGACGGUCACGCUGGGACUGAGACACGGCCCAGACUCCUACGGGAGGCAGCAGUGGGGAAUAUUGCACAAUGGGCGCAAGCCUGAUGCAGCGACGCCGCGUGAGGGAUGGAGGCCUUCGGGUUGUGAACCUCUUUCGCCAGUGAAGCAGGCCUGCCUCGUUUGUGGGUGGGUUGACGGUAGCUGGAUAAGAAGCGCCGGCUAACUACGUG
rnacentral:rRNA from 1 species